CGCGCAGGCGGCCUAUCAAGUCAGGCGUGAAAGCCCCGGGCUUAACCUGGGAAUUGCGCUUGGGACUGGCGGGCUGGAGUUCGGGAGAGGAGAGUGGAAUUCCCAGUGUAGAGGUGAAAUUCGUAGAUAUUGGGAAGAACACCGGUGGCGAAGGCGGCUCUCUGGACCGAUACUGACGCUGAGGCGCGAAAGCGUGGGGAGCAAACAGGAUUAGAUACCCUGGUAGUCCACGCUGUAAACGAUGUGCGCUAGACGUUGGGAGGCGUAGCCUUCCGGUGUCGCAGCUAACGCUUUAAGCGCACCGCCUGGGGAGUACGGCCGCAAGGUUAAA
rnacentral:rRNA from 1 species